rnacentral:rRNA from 1 species
CGGGGAGGUGGAGCGGCAACAGCUCAAAUUUGAAAGCUAGCCUUCGGGUUCGCAUUGUAAUUUGUAGAGGAUGAUUUGGGGAAGCCGCCUGUCUAAGUUCCUUGGAACAGGACGUCAUAAAGGGUGAGAAUCCCGUAUGUGACAGGAAAUGGCACCCUAUGUAAAUCUCCUUCGACGAGUCGAGUUGUUUGGGAAUGCGGCUCUAAAUGGGAGGUAAAUUUCUUCUAAAGCUAAAUAUUGGCGAGAGACCGAUAGCGCACAAGUAGAGUGAUCGAAAGAUGAAAAGCACUUUGGAAAGAGAGUUAAAAAGCACGUGAAAUUGUUGAAAGGGAAGCGCUUGCAAUCAAACUUGUUUAAACUGUUCGGCCGGUCUUCUGACCGGUUUACUCAGUUUGGACAGGCCAGCAUCAGUUUCGGCGGCCGGAUAAAGGCUCUGGGAAUGUGGCCUCCACUUCGGUGGAGGUGUUAUAGCCCAGGGUGUAAUACGGCCAGCCGAGACUGAGGUCCGCGCUUCGGCUAGGAUGCUGGCGUAAUGGUUGUAAGCGACCCGUCUUGAA